rnacentral:rRNA from 1 species
CCUACGGGGGGCUGCAGUGAGGAAUAUUGGUCAAUGGACGAGAGUCUGAACCAGCCAAGUAGCGUGAAGGAUGACUGCCCUAUGGGUUGUAAACUUCUUUUAUAUGGGAAUAAAAUGUUCCACGUGUGGGAUUUUGUAUGUACCAUAUGAAUAAGGAUCGGCUAACUCCGUGCCAGCAGCCGCGGUAAUACGGAGGAUCCGAGCGUUAUCCGGAUUUAUUGGGUUUAAAGGGAGCGUAGGUGGAUUGUUAAGUCAGUUGUGAAAGUUUGCGGCUCAACCGUAAAAUUGCAGUUGAAACUGGCAGUCUUGAGUACAGUAGAGGUGGGCGGAAGUCGUGGUGUAGCGGUGAAAUGCUUAGAUAUCACGAAGAACUCCGAUUGCGAAGGCAGUUCACUGGACUGCAACUGACACUGAGGCUCGAAAGUGUGGGUAUCAAACAGGAUUAGAUACCCGAGUAGUC